rnacentral:sRNA from 1 species
UUUUUUCAUUUGUUUUGUUAUUU